AAAGGAAUUAAUGCAUUAGCUAAAUUGGUGUAGAGAAUGAACAGAUCAAACAAACUCCUUUCGGGGAGAACAUUAGCAUAAUGCCAUUUCUUCACAGAUUUCUCCUAUCUGGAACAAGUACUUAAAGUUGGAUCACUUUUAAGAAGGCAAGUAACAUUUGACGCCUAGGACAUGCCUGGCAGCAGAAACAUCUAGAAAACUGUCAGUUUAUAGUAGUAGCAGCAUGAACCAUGAUUUAAAAAAUCCAAUAAACUGGACUCUGACAAAAUUAUACGUUUCUGUACAUCUUUCCUUGUUUGCAUUUUUUUACCGCUAGGCAAUGAUAAGUUUGAAGCAUCAGGUUACUUUCAUGUAACACAAUACCUUCUUUGGUUAAAGUUAGCUUUGAGACCGGGCUAUAUUUCAGAGUUGUUCGCAACACUGUUUCUAUAGAAGAAUGGCUAACUCCCAUGCACUGAAGCAAACCUUGGUUCAUCUCCAUAAGCUCUGCUAGCUUUUCCUCCUUCGAGGUGAUGGCUAUUUCAUCCUCGGCUGCUAACUCAACAAUGCUUGAAAGCUCUUCACUAAUGGAGUUCACUGCAUGGAAGACAGAAGCCAUAGCAUCUGGAUGCCUAGAUGCUCUUUCAGAUACACCAGCAACUAGGGCCUUUGUGUUCCUACCAACUCUUGUAUCAGUAAUGAGCAUUUUGACUGGGUUCCUGGACUUGAGGUUUGUCAUUUCCCCCUUCUUGAAUUUAAUCAUGCUUCCUAACAUUCACACAUAAGUUUAGUGAAGCAAAACAAGUUAGGAGAAUUGAUAGGGGAGGAAUUGAAAUUCAGAUGGUCUUAUGCAUUCUAGGAAACUACUCAAGUUUUUUUCUUUUGCACCAUUUGCAAAGAUUUCCAUGGCUUGACACCUAAAAUUGACAAGACUUUUAGGUUAAAUUACUGAUUUCAAAUACUGAUAAUCCCUAUGGCAGCAUCAGGUAACUAUCGGCAUAUCUAUGAUCGGCUAGUAAUUCCACCAGAUGCAUCAUCUAUCCAUCUAGCUGUCACUCAAGUACAUAAAACAAACAAGCCAUAAAUAAACUAGAAGCAAUCCUUGCAGCAACUAAGAGUGGUGGUGCCAAAACGAGCAUUGCAGUAUACCGUAUACUCGCUGUGUUCUUCAUACAACAAGAUUGAUGCGUGAUUCCAGUCCAACAAAAAAUGCCUUCAGUUUGCAUAGCCUGUGCACAUAGAGCGAACAAGGAUCUUGAUUGGAUAAAGUUUGCACAAAACGAACAAUUCAAAGCAAUUUAUGGAAUGAUCUGAUUUUCUUUUUGGUUUUGGGGGGGGGGGGACUGAUAUUUUAUUGAUACAACAUUGCAAUAAUUAUUAAGUUUAAUUUUAAUUUUGAUACAACAAUAGCACCAGCAAUAGUGCAGCUGGGUGCUUAUUCGAUACAAGAAUCUGCUAGGAAUAGCAGAAGAAUAUCCGCAUCUUGAAAUUCAUGUAGUGAAUACAAGAAUCUCCUAGGGAAGGCAGAAGAAUAUCCUAAUCAUCGAACAAUUGAAGUAGUGAAUCUUAACUUCUUUAGUUCGGUAGGGUAAGGCAUUUUCUAAAAGUAUGGUACAACAUCUCCUUGGAACAUGAUGAGUCUUAUCCUCGGCAUACUUGAAGACCUCGUCCACCAACCUCAACUUUAAAGCAGCAAAAACCAUGAGAUUCAAGCUCUGUGGCGACUUUCUCCAAAACUAUGCUGGCUGAUACUGAUAAUCAUGUCAAGGAAGCUUUGUGCAUCAUUGAAGGGACAGCAAACGCAAAAUUGAAAGAUCCAUGAAGUUCAAACAUUAUUGACUGCAUAUGCAGAAAAAUGAAAGCGCAAAGAAGUACCAUGACUAAACCAGUAAAAGUCAAUGCCAUAGCCUAUGCAUAGCUAAGCAGGUACAAAUUAGAAACUCAGAUCUGAAAACAAAAGGAUAAUUAGAAAUUUAAGCUGCUACAGUCCUUUUCCUUCCAUGUUGAUAGAUUUAGUCCAUUAAAAUUCAUCUAGAUUAGAUGGGAUGUGAACCAGAAUCAUUUUACAUGGUUAUAUGUUAUUAUAAGUACUGAGCAUUUUGCUUUUCAAAAGACAGGCCAUUGUAGUUCUAAAGUUUCUCUCCUGUCAGAUUCUUUAUUAGUGAAUAUCAAGACCCAGAUUUCUGGAAGCUUUGAAUUGAGAUGUUAAAGAUAAACAGAAACCAUAUAUAAGUAGUAUGGUGUUUAUAUCAUAUCAAACAAUGAAGGAAAAGAUGCAGUCAGGGGAUAUGAAAAGGAUACGGGUCGGUAUUAGAGUUAACACACAGCCUCCACCACCAGCUCCUGUUAGCUUUGAGACCAGGCUAUAUUUCAGAGUUGUUCGCAACACUGUUUCUAUAGAAGAAUGGCUAACUCCCAUGCACUGAAGCAAACCUUGGUUCAUCUCCAUAAGCUCUGCUAGCUUUUCCUCCUUCGAGGUGAUGGCUAUUUCAUCCUCGGCUGCUAACUCAACAAUGCUUGAAAGCUCUUCACUAAUGGAGUCCACUGCAUGGAAGACAGAAGCCAUAGCAUCUGGAUGCCUAGAUGCUCUUUCAGAUACACCAGCAACUAGGGCCUUUGUGUUCCUACCAACUCUUGUAUCAGUGAUGAGCAU
rnacentral:lncRNA from 1 species